GAAAUGCCUCCAUGAGACCCAGCUGUAAGGCAUUUUCUCAAUUAGUGAUGAAGGGGAAGGGCCCCUUGUGGGUGGCACCAUCACUGGGCUGGUAGUCUUG
rnacentral:miRNA from 14 species